AUUGAACGCUGGCGGCAGGCCUAACACAUGCAAGUCGAGCGAGCGGCGGACGGGUGCGUAAUGUAUGGGGACUGCCCGAUAGAGGGGGAUAACUACUGGAAACGGUAGCUCAUACCGUAUACUAUCGGCUACCCCAUAUGGGAUUAGCUAGUAGGUGCGGUAAUGGCUCACCUAGGCGACGAUCCCUAGCUGGUCUGAGAGGAUGAUCAGCCACACUGGGACUGAGACACGGCCCAGACUCCUACGGAGGCAGCAGUGGGGAAUAUGGCACAAUGGGCGCAAGCAUGAUGCAGCCAUGCCGCGUGUAUGAAGAAGGCCCUAGGGUUGUAAAGUACUUUCAGGCGGGAGGCGUUACCGACAGAAGAAGCACCGGCUAACUCCGUGCCAGCAGCCGCGGUAAUUC
rnacentral:rRNA from 1 species